rnacentral:rRNA from 1 species
UGGGGAAGUAUUGCACAAUGGGGGAAACCCGUACGAUGCAGCGACGCCGCGUGAAGGAAGAAGUAUCUCGGUAUGUAAACUUCUAUCAGCAGGGAAGAUAGUGACGGUACCUGACUAAGAAGCCCCGGCUAACUACGUGCC